rnacentral:tRNA from 2 species
GGGCGUAUGGUGUAGUGGGAGCACGUUCGCUUUGCAUGCGAAAGGUCCGGGGUUCGAUCCCCCGUUCGUCCA